UUUUUUUUUUUUUCCUAGAGUAUUCAGCUUUCAAGUUCGUUCUGUCCCUUAGAAAGCUGACAAAUGGAAGAACAAAACAAAUACAUUUCACUUACAGAACAUUAAUCAAGCAGGAACUCCAUGAACUGAACAAAUUUGAAUUGUGGCAAACCUUCCACUCCCCCAAAAAAUACCCACAGCUGAUGACUGAAGUAUCAAAAUUGCCUCAUUUUCCCACUGAAAAAUGCCUGAAACCAGAUGGGGUUCCCCAAAGACAUAUGGUCUGAGCUUUUACUCAUAUUAAAGCAAAAUUCAGAUCUAAUUAUUUUAAUCCACCAUAGCUAAUCCUAUCUACCUCAAAGUAACCAGCAUAGCUCUCUUUCCUCUGCUUGUUAAAUGAGUAGUAUAUACUCUGUUUUUCCCUGCUUUAAGAGUACAAGAUAAGUAGUUCUUAGGAGCAGCAAUUCACUCCUCUACAUAACAUAUACAUUUCUUCUUCAGCUUCUGGGAGGGAAGUCCUCCAUUUUGCUUUCUAAUUUGAAGCUCUGUCUUAUGAGCACACAUCCCUCAUUUGUUUUUUUGUGUGGGUUUUUUUUUUUUUUUUCCCCAAAAAACACAUCUGUGGAAGCUUUAGUUACACCACCAGCAGACAGAAGAAGAAACCCACACCUACAGUAACACAGGUCAUUAAUCAGUUCAUAAAAUUAUUGUCAAGAUCUGGACUAAGUUCACAGACUACUUGGUGUUCAUAAAGUUUUCACUGAACAUCUGUAGAGAGUUUGGGAGUCUACAGCACUUAAUACAAUUGAUUUAGCUGAGAUUAUAAGGAGAGAGAAGGAGAGAGAAGGAGAGAGAAGGAGAGAGAAGGAGAGAGAAAGAAAACACAGCUCAUUUUCAGCCUACAUAUCUUAGCGUAUCUCCACUUGCGGUAAAGAACAUCUUCCACCUGGCAAAUUUUAAUCUUUUUCCUCGAAUUUGUCCUCAAACACUCUUUGCUGUCCUACUUGCCCCUUUAAUUCUGCAGUAAUUUCCUCUUCAUCCAACAUCACAUGUCAUCCAGAUCAUUUAAUUUAGCUACAUCCAUCUCAUAUGAGCAAAAAGCUAGGACACAGGUUGUCUGCUGCAACAGGCUUCAGGGUCAAAAUCAGCUGUGCAAAACUGCAGUUCAGUGGUGGCUUCAUUAAAGGCAGCCCUUCUUCACUGUGAAUAGUGUUUGCUUAACAGGAUGUUAAUGGUUGCAAAGGAAAGGGUAUUUUACAGUCACACACAGACUGUUACUUACUGUAAUGGCAAAAACUAAAGAUUUAACUCAUAAUAGAUGAGGGGAGGUCUUUUUAAAUCUUACUUUCCUUAGGUCAGAUAGAAAACUGCACAUUUUGAUAAACUCGACUCAUCUUGUAGACCCUACAUUUAAGAUGUUCCAAGGCAGCCAACUGAAACAAACACAUUGUUCAUCCAUUAUAAUACCAAUUUCCAAGAAAUAGAAUUUGAGACAAAUAAGAGGUUUACAAGCCAUGAAAACACCACAAGUAAAUGCACACAUAAAAGUUUCAAAUUAAGAAUUCACUAACAUUAGUUACAAUGAUACAAACGUUUACGUAAAAAUUAUUUUGGGUAAUGAGACUUGUUGAUAUGCAAGAAGUACUAUGACAGCUCCUCAGCUGCAUAACCAGUUCUUUUACAUGGUAAAUAACCAAGGAGAAUCAAGCCGGUUCUAUGAAAACAGAUAGUGUCCAGUGCAAAGAAAAAGAAUUCAACACUGUGAGAUCGCCUGCUCAAGAAACUGAAAAAACACUCAAACUAUCAUGUCCCUUCUCCGAUUUUAACAUUGAUUCUACCCUGGAACUCACAUUUGAGUUCUUUCUACAAAUAUAUAUAAGUGCAAUUUCAGCAACAGAUAACAAAAAUAGGAAAAAAAAAAAGAUUAUGAAAUUGAUUAAAAUUGUUGUUUCCAAAUUAGUGUUAAAAAGCAAAAGUCAGAAUUAAAUGCUGGUCACUCCUGCGGCUGAUCAAACACACUUACUAUUGCCAUAUGUAAGUCACCCUUGAAAUGGAAGCACAAGUAGCUCCAAACCAUCCUAUCCUUUUGAAACUCUGCUUCCAAAUGUGUACAGCAUUUGAACACAGUGAAAAUCCACAGUUAGAGAUAUCAGGUGUUGGUCUGAUUUUCUACAACCAAAAAUAAGUUCCCACUUAAAACUUUGAUUCCCCACUAGGGAUGUAAGUGGCUGCCCUCCCUUCCCACUUGUAUCCCCAGGCCACCCAUGAAGGUAAAACAAUUGCAUAACAAAUAUCAGAUGAGAUGGCAUUUACCCUUCUGUGCCUGCACAAGAGCUGCAGCCGGUCGCGGGGCCUCUUUGCAGAAGCACUGUGUGAGGAAGCAACCCUGGGAACACUUUUCAAGGCUGCUCUCCUCAACGUGGGUCAGCACAGGCCACAGCUGGAAACUAAGGUCAAAAGGAGGCUGGUGCACACCUGGGUUGCAGCAUGCUGGAAGAUGAGCAUAUCCAGUCAGAAGCACCCAGCCAGCAGUCAGGGGACGCAGCAGAAGUCCAAGGUCAUCCAGAGAAACCCUUUUGCCCUGGCCCUGAGAUAAAGCGAGGCAGCAGUUCUCAGAAAAGUGCCUGCUGAAGGGGGAGAAUGGAAUGGGAAGGAGGAGCAACAGAUCCAUCCCACCGCCUCCUCCUUUUCAACUCCAGCUGCUUGCUGGAGCAGGGGGCUUCAUGCAUUUGUCACAAAAGAACAAUGCUGCCACAAAGAAAUUCCUAAUUUUUUACAUCGCUCUGCUUCCUAAUGUAAAUAACCUGAAUUAGCAUAGCAAACCAAAAGGCAUGCCAGCAUACAUAGCAAAUGUUACCAAGAAUAUCCACAGCCUUUCAUCUAAAAAACAAAACAGAACAAACAAGCAAACAAAAAAAGACAAAUAGCUUAAGAAAGUGAUAUUUGUUUUUGCUCUCAUCUCUUGAAUCUUCUUGACUGUCCAAAGAAAAGCAUUUUAAGGACACUUUAAGGAUACACUGGCACAUGUUUCAUGGUGGAGUGCUAUUCUUUUGCUCCUCACUCCUAUGACAGACAAUUCCAGGAAGCUGCAAGUCCUGAGAUCAGCCUCUUCUGUAAGCACAGUCCAGCAGCAAGGUCAAAAAGGGAACGGUAGCCAUAAAUGAAUUUUGAAUGCUACUUCUAAUUCUAUUUGUGCUUUUUUCCUCAUUCAGUUAGCUUGUAUAGAAGACUAAAGAAAACAUGCAACACCUCUCUCUCAAAGGGGAAGCAUUUAUACACUUAGAUUUCAAAGUCUGCCCUUUCUUUUUUUUUUUCUUUUUAAUUUCUAUCUUUUUUUUCCUAAUGCCUUUAUUCCUUCCAGAGAGCAAUGAGAAGAGAUGUGCACACACACACACACACACACACAGAAAAAAAAAAAAAAAAAAAAAAAA
ensembl:lncRNA